rnacentral:rRNA from 1 species
UACGGGAGGCAGCAGUGGGGAAUAUUCCACAAUGGGGGAAACCCUGAUGCAGCGACGCCGCGUGAGUGAAGAAGUUAUUCGUAAUGUAAAGCUCUAUCAGCAGGGAAGAAGCAGACGGUACCUGACUAAGAAGCACCGGCUAAAUACGUGCCAGCAGCCGCGGUAAU